GGGUAAUAUAUGAUGAACAUGAAACUUAAUAAUAUUGGCGGCAUUCUAUCUAACCAGAGGAACUUGUCCUUUAAUUGAUAAUCCACAUUACUUUUAACUUUUCUUAAAUGUUUGUAUACCUCCGUCAUAAGAUGAUUUUUAAAAAUAUUAUCAGAAAAUUAAUUUUCAUGUCAGGUCAAGGUUCAACUAAUGGAAGAGUCUGAGAUGAGUUACAAUAAAGGUAAUUUAUACAAAUUAAGUUCACAAAUGAAUUUAAGAAGGUGGAUUUGGUAGUAAUUAUGGAAAUAAUAAUCUAUUUUAAAUAUAGUUAUAAAAUGUGU
rnacentral:rRNA from 1 species